CUCAGAGGCAUCGGGCAGCUGAGCUGUGCCCCACACAGCACCAUGAAGCUGGGGCUGCUCUGCGCCCUCGCCAUGGCCCUCCUGGCCAUGGCCAUGGCUGACCUCAAAGACUCCAAGAAGGGAAAAAUGCUCACAUGGAACAGAGAGGCAGGGACGCGCGGUGGGGGCCGGCGCCGACCACACCAGCUGUGCUCAGGGUGUUUCUCUGUGCUGAGUGAGGAGUCCAUCACAAUGUCCCGGAGCACUGGGGACGUGGAUGAAGCUCAGGCAGGCAGGCAGGAGCGCACCAGGAGGGAAACUGAGAAACCUGCACAGCAACGCCGCAGUCACAGAGCCCAGGACAGGAAAGGAGGAGCAGCGGUGGCCAAGCACAGCCCUGCGCCAUGAUGGAGCUGGGGGUCCCACCACCCCCUGACUGCACCACAGCCCUGAGGGGAGCCAGGGGGUCCUGCUGUGCCUCCAGCAUGAUGGGGCUGCCCAGCUGCCCCAGAGUGCUCCUGGGGGGCAGCACCCCCACCUGCCACACGAAGCUGCCAAAUAAAGCCACCAAACCAGC
rnacentral:lncRNA from 1 species